rnacentral:tRNA from 1 species
GCGGGCGUGGCGGAAUUGGCAUACGCGGCGGACUUAAAAUCCGCUCCCUUCGGGGUUGGGGGUUCGAGUCCCUCCGCCCGCACCA